CACGUAGGGGGCGAGCGUUGUCCGGAUUUAUUGGGCGUAAAGAGCUCGUAGGCGGCUCAGUAAGUCAGGUGUGAAAAACUCCAGGCUCAACCUGGAGACGCCACCUGAUACUGCUGUGGCUAGAGUCCGGUAGGGGAGCAUGGAAUUCCUGGUGUAGCGGUGAAAUGCGCAGAUAUCAGGAGGAACACCAGUGGCGAAGGCGACUACCUGGCCUGUUCUUGACGCUGGAGGCGACGAAAGCUAGGGGAGCAAACGGG
rnacentral:rRNA from 1 species